rnacentral:rRNA from 1 species
UAUGGGGGGGGCAAGCGUUGUUCGGAAUUACUGGGCGUAAAGGGUUCGUAGGUGGCCUACUAAGUCAUACGUGAAAUCCCUCAGCUUAACUGGGGAACUGCGUCUGAGACUGGAAGGCUUGAGUGCAGGAGAGGAACGCGGAAUUCCAGGUGUAGCGGUGAAAUGCGUAGAUAUCUGGAGGAACACCGGUGGCGAAGGCGGCGUUCUGGACUGCAACUGACACUGAGGAACGAAAGCCAGGGGAGCAAACGGG